rnacentral:rRNA from 1 species
UACGUAGGGUGCGAGCGUUGUCCGGAAUUACUGGGCGUAAAGGGCGCGUAGGCGGCAAUUCAAGUCAUCUGUGAAAUCUCCGGGCUUAACCCGGAACGGUCAGAUGAUACUGCUUUGCUAGAGUGCGGAAGGGGCAAUCGGAAUUCUUGGUGUAGCGGUGAAAUGCGUAGAUAUCAAGAGGAACACCUGAGGUGAAGACGGGUUGCUGGGCCGACACUGACGCUGAUAGCGCGAAAGCCAGGGGAGCAAACGGG